AACGAACGCUGGCGGCAUGCCUAACACAUGCAAGUCGAACGAACCCUUCGGGGUUAGUGGCGCACGGGUGCGUAACGCGUGGGAAUCUGCCCUUUGCUUCGGAAUAACAGUUAGAAAUGACUGCUAAUACCGGAUGAUGUCUUCGGACCAAAGAUUUAUCGGCAAGGGAUGAGCCCGCGUAGGAUUAGGUAGUUGGUGGGGUAAAGGCCUACCAAGCCGACGAUCCUUAGCUGGUCUGAGAGGAUGAUCAGCCACACUGGGACUGAGACACGGCCCAGACUCCUACGGGAGGCAGCAGUGGGGAAUAUUGGACAAUGGGCGCAAGCCUGAUCCAGCAAUGCCGCGUGAGUGAUGAAGGCCUUCGGGUCGUAAAGCUCUUUUACCAGGGAUGAUAAUGACAGUACCUGGAGAAUAAGCUCCGGCUAACUCCGUGCCAGCCGCCGCCGUAAUAC
rnacentral:rRNA from 1 species